UACGAGGGGGGCGAGCGUUGUUCGGAAUUAUUGGGCGUAAAGGGUGCGUAGGCGGUUUGGUAAGCCUGAUGUGAAAUCUAUGGGCUCAACUCAUAGUCUGCAUCGGAAACUGCCGGGCUUGAGUGUGGGAGAGGUGAGUGGAAUUCCUGGUGUAGCGGUGAAAUGCGUAGAUAUCAGGAGGAACACCUGUGGCGAAAGCGGCUCACUGGACCAUAACUGACGCUGAUGCACGAAAGCUAGGGGAGCAAACAGG
rnacentral:rRNA from 1 species